CUGAGCCAUUUCUCCAGCCCCCAUAAUUCUAUUUCUAAAGUGUCCUUUUCUUUCGAAAUAUACUUACAUAAAGUGUGGCCUUAACCAAAAAUUUUAAAUCUUGUUCUUCAGCAUUAGUUAUAUUCAAUUACUAUUGUCUUACAUUCAUGAUGUUCUAUCGUUAUUCUUCUGUUAUUCUUCUCUCAUUCAUUACAUCUCAAUUCCCUCCACCAAUUCCAUGCAGCUCUCCCAAUUAUCUCUCCUCUCACCCAGAUCCACACCUUUUCCCAUUAUGUUCAAAAGAGAGAGGGGGAGGAAAGGGACAGGGUAUAGGGAAAGGGGAAAGGGAAAGGGUGAGAGAGGUUACACAAGGAUGUGUCAACCAAACACCAUAAGUUAGCAUCAAAAGUUACGGUAAGACAAAACUGCUUAUUAAGACUGGCCGAAGAAACCAUCAGAGAUUUAAUUACUUCUGGAUGAAGUAAUUGAAAGUAUGCAUUAGGAUGGAUGGUAUAUUUACUUGUUAAAAAUUAUUUUUAAAACUCAUUUGUAAAUUAUUCUGAUGAGUGGAUUUAGAACCACAGCAAUUCGUAAAAGAUGCUGUCUAGAAAAUCCGACUGAUAUAAAACCACAUUAAAGCUGAGAAAGUCCUUUUCCUUUCUGUAUCCUCAACAACAGCAUGUAUCCGAUUGCAGCAAACUGAUCCAGUAAAUAGAAGGUCUACAGGAAAUGAGUUAUAAAAGCGCUGCGCAGUGUGUUGCCCCUCUCUUUCAGACCCUGGCUUCUGGCAAGAGAAAAUAUGGUGAAACUACAAAGACCAGAAAUCCUUUCGGUUUUCAACUUCCCUUGGAGCCAAGCCUGGGAGUGACACCCACUUCAUUCAAUUCCUGUGGUCGUGGGAACACUGGAAAGUGGUUUGUUUUCCCUUUUGUUACAUUCAGGAUUUCUUUGAUUGAAUCUUGUCUUCGCAAUAAUUACUGAUAAUACAAGUCUCGCCUUUAUUUUUUCCGUUAAUCUUGGAAUGCGGCUAAAAGAAGGAAGUGAACGAUUCAGAAUUAAUUGAGGGAUUACAGAAGUCACGAUUCAAUUCAAGACAUCGGGUCGAACACUACAAUCUUUGAAACAUUUGCAGUCGAGAAUUGGAGGGCAGUUAAUAAAUAUGCAAUUUCAUUCUUUUAUCUGCGGCCAUUCCCAUUGAUCAGAAUCAUUUAUUAAAAUUUUUAAAUUUUAUUAAACUAACAGAUAUCACUGUGGGAUUAUAUUGGCUACAUUUCUAAGGAAAAGUGACCCUCGUGCAUCAGGCAGUCAUCAGUGCUAAGGGAGCCCAGCUUUAUAAACUACAGUUGAAUUUGUUUCUGAAUGGGCGGGGAAGGAUUUCAUCUGGAAGCAAUGGGAAGAAAAGGGACUAAAUUUUUCAAAGAAGAAAAAGUAGAUGAAAGUUACCAUGUUGUGACCUGUAAUUUCACAUUGGGAGAGAUAAACGUGGAGUACUUCUCUGAGGACACUUUGGAUUACACUAAUUAGAAGGAACCUUAGGCUGCAGUUUGUGAAUGAAGUAGAGAGUUGGACAUUCUAUCUUUGUGAAUAAUUGAUGGAAUUUUGAUGGGGAAUUGCACUGGAACUGCAGAUCGCUUUUGUAAACUAUAGAAGCGGAUGUCUGUACCAAAGAUGAAAGAUGAGAUUUGAGCUUGAACUUCAUCAAAAUGCAGGUUACAUUGUGAAAACAAGGAAGAGCAGAUCACAGGAGGUAGACACGCAAAAAUAUGAAUCUCAAGAUCAUCCUAAGCAAGUCUAUGAACUGACUGAGUCCAUUUCAAAGGAAAGCUUUGUACAAAUUUGGCAAUUAUUCUACAGUGGUAAUAUUUCUGAAAAAAUAAUUUGACACUUGCUCAUCCAGCAGCCAUCGAUGUUAAUUUCAUAUGAUCAAACUAUUGUCUCACUUCAUGAUUGAGAGAAGACGAUGCAUUUACUCACGGUAGGAACUGGAAGCAGGCGCUUAAACAGAAGUGUUGUUGCUGCUUACCAGUUUUCUUCCUGUGGGUAGUUCAGAAUCCUUCCUAAUACACACCAGGAUCACCUAAACAGGGACUAAAUUUUUCAAAGAAGAAAAAGUAGAUGAAAGUUACCAUGUUGUGACCUGUAAUUUCACAUUGGGAUUGAUAAACGUGGAGUACUUCUCUGAGGACACUUUGGAUUACACUAAUUAGAAGGAACCCUAGUCUGCAGUUUGUGAGUAUGUAUCAAAAAGUCACCAAAAGAAGUGAGUUUAAAUGAUGAUAUAAAUGAACAAAUAACUAAUUUAUCUGAGAUGUAAGUAGAGUAAAAUAUUUUCCAGUAACUAAAUAUUACAUGUUUGAACAAAAGGACAAUACAAAUCAAAUCAAUCAAAUGACUUUUAUGCUUUUCAAACCAUUGACACAUAGGAAUGUUGCUCUAAAUAGGAUGUAUACCCAGUGUGUUAUAGUUCCUGAGUUGAAAUCCCAGUGUUUCAGUGAAAAAAUAAUUUGACUCAUCAGUGAGCUGGCAGGUUAUAUAAAAUGAACUCUAGUAAAAACAAAGUUCCAUCCUGGAGUGUAUCAGAGCAGAAUGACUUGCACAAUUUUGCUCUGACCAAUAGAAAUGUAUCCUCUGAAGACUAACUUAAUUAAAUGUUAGUACCUAAAGAUGUAUCAAUAUGGAAUCUGUAUUAGUUUUUGAUUUACUAAUUUUUGAAAAUUGAUUUUUUUCAGACCAUAUAUUCUAAUCCCUCCUUACUUUGUUCUCCCUGAUAAUUUCUACCUCUACAUUGAUCUAAUUCCUCAUGUUCUCAUCCCACCCCUUAGAAAACAUGAAAAAAACAUAACCAUACGCAAACAGAACAAUCAAAGGAAUCAUGAAAUAUAAGAAAAAACACCAGAAGCACAUAGACACAUAUUUAUACAUGCUCACAGAGAAAAGCCCAGGAAAUUAUUAAAUUGUCAGUCAUAAUGUAUCAGAAAAUUACCAGCAUGGUUAAAAUAUAGUAAAUUAUGAAUCAAAAAAUUCAAACUUACCAUUGAUUUAUAUAAGUUAGAAUGAAGCCUUUGCUUGAGUGUGGAUUCUAUUCCUAUGAAACCGUACUGGAAAAAGUAGUUUUUAUAUUGGAAAAUGUGUUAAAUGGAGAGAGCUUCUUAGUGAGGUAGAUCAUAUUCAUUUUCCACUACUUGUGGUUGGACCUCCAAUAAUUUUGACCUGCAAAACCUGUGCAGAACCUGCACAUGGUUUCCUGGUUUAUAUGAGUCGAUAUGUGUAUCAGUCCUGCUCUAUCUGGACAUCAUUACUGACUUGCUUGCAUUCCUCCAGCACCACAGUGCCUUAUAAUAUUUCUACUGUGUCUUUUACAAAUCUUUCCUGAGCCAUGAAGGAAGAGAUAGGACAGCAGUGUAUCAUUUAUGAGAGUGUGAUCCAAAGUCUUUCACUCUGUAUAUUGUGCAGACAUGGUUCUCUUUACUUAGCCCAAUCUAUUGUAUAUGCUAGCUUUUGUGAUGACAGUAGAGCAAUAUACUGAUCUAUGCAUAUAACAGAAUGUUAUUAGGAAUCAUUUUGUAGCGACAUUUCUAUAGCAGGUAAUAAUACCUACCGUAAGCCUUAAACUCCAGUAUUUAGUCAUGAGAACAAUGGUAGAAAUGUGUUCUGUCUCACUGUGUAUGUCUCAAAUCCAGUCAGAUAGUGGUUUCUUACUCCCUUGAAAGCACCACUAUUGCAGCAGCUUAUCUUAUAGGCAGCUGACUGCGGUAGAUCAAAUAGUAUAGAGGUUGGUUGGCAUUUAAGUUUCUGCUCAGUAACCAUGCAGAAUUCAUUUCAGUAUGAGCAACACAAUUCAAAAGGUAAAGGUUUUAGUUAGGCACCUGCUUGUCUUCUCUACGUUCAAAAGAAA
rnacentral:sRNA from 1 species